rnacentral:miRNA from 1 species
UGCAUGAAAUACACACUGGCCUUGGAGUCAGAACAUCUGAGUUCUAGUUCCCCUCGGCCAUUUACGUAUACCUUU